rnacentral:rRNA from 1 species
UACGUAGGGUGCAAGCGUUAAUCGGAAUUACUGGGCGUAAAGCGUGCGCAGGCGGUGAUGUAAGACAGGUGUGAAAUCCCCGGGCUUAACCUGGGAACUGCAUUUGUGACUGCAUCGCUGGAGUGCGGCAGAGGGGGAUGGAAUUCCGCGUGUAGCAGUGAAAUGCGUAGAUAUCUGGAGGAACACCGGUGGCGAAGGCGGCAUCCUGGACCGGUAUUGACGCUGAGGCGCGAAAGCCAGGGGAGCAAACGGG